UACGGGGGGAGCAAGCGUUGUUCGGAUUUACUGGGCGUAAAGGGCGCGUAGGCGGUCAGCACAAGUCAGUUGUGAAAUCUCCGGGCUUAACUCGGAAAGGUCAACUGAUACUGUGCGACUAGAGUGCGGAAGGGGCAACUGGAAUUCUUGGUGUAGCGGUGAAAUGCGUAGAUAUCAAGAGGAACCCCUGCGGCGAAGGCGGGUUGCUGGGCCGACACUGACGCUGAGGCGCGGAAGCCAGGGGAGCGAACGGG
rnacentral:rRNA from 1 species